CAGAAAACAAGUUUUCUGGAAAUGGAGAUAGAGAGAGGGGAAGAAUAACAUUUCUGGGCUGGACAAUGACAUGCCUAAGGAGCCCUGGAUGCUUGUGGUGAAGGCCCAGUUCUCUGAAGUGUCACUUUCAUGGUAGGCAUGGUCCUGCCCCCAUGGCCUUGUGAGUGGUGCUGGUCUAGAAGUUACGUGGUCAAACAUUGCCAUAGUGAUUUUCCUAAAAGAUGGAUCAGAAGAUAGAUGCAUGUGUUACAACUACAGGGUUUUAUGGGUUGUUUCCCAUAUGAAGCAGCUUCUACAAAUGUACCCGGAGGAAAAUUGACCAACUUACAUCAUUGGCCAAUCUAUGCUAAAAGUCUAAUUGAUUUUAGACAAAUAACUCAGCUUACAGAAUCACAGGACAGCUGAAGUGAGAAGGCACCUCUGACCAACCA